GCGAAAAGAGUCAAUAAACUUUCCGUCUACAAAAAAGGCCAUAAACACACACAGGCUGCAAAUUGCCACCACUCUUCUCCUAGAGACAGAUGACUUGACAAACAUCUGUCAUUUCUGCGGGGAAGAAGAGCAUGAAACUGAAAACAAAUGGAUUCAGUGUGAGAUGUGUUUGCGGUGGUUCCACCAGCUCUGUGUGAAAAGCCCACCACCAGAAGAUGUGUUUAUUUGUUUCGCU